CCUUUCUUUGACCUGAGGAAUGGUACCAAGGGGAGACUUAACUACAGAUAACACCUCUGUUCAGCAACUUCUAAGGCAUCUAGAUGGUAGAGUUGAUACAGUUCUAGAACUGUAGUUUGGAAGACCCAACCUCAAAUCCUGCCACGGAUACUUAUUAACUGGGUUUGUUGGAUCUAGCCUCUUAACCUCUCUCAACUUCAGUUCCCUCAUCUAUAAAAUGUAAAAUCCUACCUUAUUGGAUUGUGAAGACCAACUGAUAUAAUAUAUGUAAAGUGCUUUUUAAACCUGGAAGUGCUAUAUAAACACUAGAUUUUAUUACAACUUGUGUGACUUUUGUUAAGUCACAAUGUAGAACCCCCUGAAAACUUGCAGGAUAUAUCCCUCAAAGAAUAGCUACCUGAGGACUUCCGGGUAAUCAUGGCUGCAAUCUAGACGCCACAUGCUUCCUCUCCCCGGCACCAAACGAAAUAGACUACAUCAAAGGAGCAUAAAAGUCACCUUUGGAGGAACAGAAGGACACUCCAGUACUCCCCAGUACUCCACAGAGGCAAAGGGCUUUGCUCACCCAGCAUGUGAAGACUGCUUCGGCCAAACAGACGGAAGAAACCAAUAUGAAGGUUCAACGGCUGAGAUGGGGACGCAGCAAAGCACUGUGGAGUGCUUAGGGCAUGUUGGAGCACAAAAGACAACACGGCCAUCCAAUGCAGCUGAGGAGGUCUCCAGGUGUAACGACUUUUCGUGCCACUGGACCCAGGCUUCCAAAGCCGAGAGAGUGGGACUGUCUCUGUGCACUGACUUUUCCACUUAAAUCUUCACGCACAAGAGUCUUUGUGCACAAAAAUGCACAAAGACAAUCGUCAUCCUCAGUUACCAAGAGACUACUACUAUAUAUAACUACAACUAUUUAAUAUUAUACUAGUAAUUCUAGCUAUAGCAAUAAGAACAGAAAAAAAAUGGAAGGAAUUAGAAUAGGCAAUAAGGAAAAAAAAACUAUCUCUCUUUGUGGAUAAUAUAAUGUAGUUGAUAUACAUAGAGAACCCUAGAGACUCAAACCAAAAACAAUUUUUGUAAAGUUUCAGGGUACAAAAUAAAUCCAUAUAAAUCAUUAACA
rnacentral:lncRNA from 1 species